rnacentral:lncRNA from 1 species
UCAGCUUGGUCAAGAUCCGCUCGUUGUCUUGCUCGGCGACUUUGAAAACCAUGUCGAUGAACUUCUGACGAUCCUCUCCGUCGAGCUUGGUCACGUCGACCUCCUUGCUGAGGAGCUGGUUGCCGUAGACGUCGUCCUCGAUGACGGAGGUCAUGAGAGUGGUGCGGAGACGGCUGUAGGUGGGGAGUUUCUCGAUGGCGGCCCAUUUGAGAGCCUCUUCGUCGUCGUUGACGGACUGCGUGCGUCUAGAACCGGAGGAGAAGAUGUCUUCGAGGUUUCUGCUGGCUCUGCUGACGCUUCUGCUGAUGCUUCGCCGCAUACUCCCACCUCCUCCGCCUAGCGGAAGGUUUGGGUUGUAAUCCAUCUUUGCCUGAACUAUUCUCUUUCUGACUUGGUGGGGGAGUAGUAAAGUUUUUGGUGUUUAGAGACUGAUCUGGUCUAAAAGAACAAGUCUGAUGAUUUGGUUGGAGGAUGCAGAGAGGAAGAUGGGAUUAGAAAAUGGAUAUAUAGGCAGUGAAGAAGGAACAUCAAGGUGGACUUUUCCUUGAUAUUUCCUCCUUGUCUAUUUCUCUUUCUUGGUUACUAUGGAAAAAAAAUUAAUAUCAUCUUUGUCGUUAAAUGCAAGAGGACUAUUAUUCAAAUAUGGGGUGCUGACUGAGGAUGGCGGCUAUCUUACGCCCGUUUUUAUUUUAUUAUUUUCAUCUCUAUCAAAAUACGUAAUAAUUGAACAUUUCCUUAAUAAACUAGUCGAUUCCGUUAUCUUCAAAGUCAACAAAAGAUAACAACAGGAGGAGAGGACCUCAAAUUCCAGUGAGUUUGUUUUUUUGUACAUUUUUCCGAAGGUAGAAAAAGAAAAAGAAAGACGUGAAGUGGGUUUUUUAAGUCAUUGUGUUCUGGAAUUUGAGAAAGGGCGGAUGAAUGAGUCAAUUCAACACAUUUGGAGAAGACCGGAAUCAGCUAUUGGAAAGCAUAUUUACACUUCUAGAAUUCUUAAGUAAAUUUGAUUACGGAGACUUUUGUAGAGUUCAGUUUACAGGUAACGGGUUUAAAUGCCAGGAUGACUGACUUAGUCAACAGAUGAAACGCAGAGUUUUGCAAGCGAAUGAGAAAAGUCAAACAAACAUUGUUUUUAAGUAAAUCUAUAAAGACUCUUAAAUUCCUUUUCAAUCUCUCACAAAAUUGUUUUUAAGUCUAUAAAGACCCUUAAAUUCCUUUUCAAUCUCUCACAAAUGUACAAUUCGCCUUCCUUUCGUGAUGGCGGCGAUGAUGAUGAUCUGCACCGUCUUGAAGACGUAGAAGAAGGCGUUACGCUGCAUGAGCAGCCACUCUUUGUCCCAGCAGCUCUUGAGAAGCUCCAUCUUCGAGACGGAGUACUUGUCGAAAACAAGAGCUGCUUUGUGGCCGCGAGACUUGUCGAAAGGUACAGAGAGCUCGUUGGAAAGCUUCUGCCCAACGUGGAAGGACUUGUAUCUGCUGGCGAACUCCGAAACCGGAAUGUACCGGUAAGGUCUGUUCCGGUCCACCCAGUAUUGCUCCUGGUCUUUCUUGGAGGUGACCUCUUGCAAAAAAUCAGCCGUUCCUUUUCUCUCGGGACACUUGAACCCAAAGCUCUCGAAGAACUCGAGGAUGUGGUCUCUGGGUCCUUGGUAUACUAUCUGCCCCUCCGACAACAAGAUGAUGUCAUCGAAUAAGUCAAAAGUCUCGGGAGCAGGCUGGAGGAGGGACAUGAGCACCGUGGCGUCAGUGAGGUGAACGAUCUGCUGAAGGCACUUGACGAUUUGGAAAGUGGUGGAGCUGUCAAGACCGGUGGAUAUCUCGUCCAUGAAAAGCGUCUUGGUAGGUCCCACAAUCAUCUCACCGGUUGUGACACGUUUCUUCUGUCCUCCGGAGAUACCUCUCAUCAUGUCAUCUCCAACUAUGGUGUCUUUGCAAAUGUCAAGCCCCAGAAUCUGUUCCAAGAAUCAGAGUUUUAGUAUCAGUAUUGUGCCAAAACAACAACAUAAAACAAUCAUAGUGAUUCUUGUGUUUUCAAAUCCGAAUCAAACUUUUAUAAUAUCCGAAUGGGGCUGAAAUUCAUAAACUCGAAAAUCCCAAAAUUGAACUCGAACCUAAACCCGAUUGGUCCCAAUGUCCAGUUCUACUUAGAAUUAAUAUUUAAAAAAAAUAAAAAAUUAAACAGGUUAGGGAAGAGAGGCUCCUCACUUUGAGAGUGUAAUCAGUGACGAGGCUGCUCUUAACACCUUGAGCAGCGGAGGCUUUCAUGAAGAGAUCAACAUCGGCUUCAGGGAAGAUCCCAGCGUCCUUUUCUCUCCUUGCCAGCUCGUUCAACAGAUCUGCAAGAUCAUAAUCCCAUUCAUUCAACAAUAGCACAUAAAAAUAAAAUAAAAUAAAAUGAAGUCAAGAUUGUUGUUAUUACCGUAACGGGUACCAACACCUUGGCACCUAGCGGAAAAAUCAAGAGUCUCCUUAACCGUCAUGAUACCAACGUGUAGAUCGUUCUGGCUAAUAUACGCAGACGUUUUUCUAGGAACAAACUCGUCGAGGCGGUAACCGUUGUAAGUAAUAUCACCAGUGACCUCAAGGGCUUUGUCAAGCUUUCCAGCAAGAGCCAAUAGAAGCGUGGUCUUACCAGAAGAAGGUGGACCCAACAAAAGCGUCAUCCUCCCAGGUUUGACACUCCCAGAGAUAUCUUUAAGAAUCGUCAGCUGAGCUUUCUUAGCAAACUGAAUCCCAAUCAUCCCCAGAGCAGACUCCGCCAUGUUCCUCACCACGUUAAGAAGCGUGGGGAGAGAUCUAUUACCAGUGUAGCAGUCGGCUUUGAUGGUCAGGUGCUCGUACCUCACCUCUACAGUAGGUAGCUUGAUGCCGACUCUAUCUAUCCUGUUCCUCAGCUUGGUCAAGAUCCGCUCGUUGUCUUGCUCGGCGACUUUGAAAACCAUGUCGAUGAACUUCUGACGAUCCUCUCCGUCGAGCUUGGUCACGUCGACCUCCUUGCUGAGGAGCUGGUUGCCGUAGACGUCGUCCUCGAUGACGGAGGUCAUGAGAGUGGUGCGGAGACGGCUGUAGGUGGGGAGUUUCUCGAUGGCGGCCCAUUUGAGAGCCUCUUCGUCGUCGUUGACGGACUGCGUGCGUCUAGAACCGGAGGAGAAGAUGUCUUCGAGGUUUCUGCUGGCUCUGCUGACGCUUCUGCUGAUGCUUCGCCGCAUACUCCCACCUCCUCCGCCUAGCGGAAGGUUUGGGUUGUAAUCCAUCUUUGCCUGAACUAUUCUCUUUCUGACUUGGUGGGGGAGUAGUAAAGUUUUUGGUGUUUAGAGACUGAUCUGGUCUAAAAGAACAAGUCUGAUGAUUUGGUUGGAGGAUGCAGAGAGGAAG